GAUCUAUUCUGACACUACUUCAUAUACUAAAAUUGGAAUGAUACUGAGAAGAUUAGCAUGACCUCUGUGCAAGGAUGACACGUGGAUUUAUGAAACAUUCCUUAUCAUU